rnacentral:rRNA from 1 species
AUUGAACGCUGGCGGGAGGCUAACACAUGCAAGUCGAACGAGUGGCGGACGGGUGAGUAAUGUAUGGGAACCUGGCCAGUAGAGGGGGAUAACUACGGGAAACAGUGCUAUACCGCAUACCAUAGGAUGAGCCCAUAUGGGAUUAGGUAGUUGGUGGGGUAAAGGCUCACCAAGGCAACGAUCCCUAGCUGGUCUGAGAGGACGACCAGCCACACUGGGACUGAGACACGGCCCAGACUCCUACGGGAGGCAGCAGUGGGGAAUUUUGGACAAUGGGGGAAACCCUGAUCCAUCCAUCCCGCGUGUAUGAUGAAGGCUUCGGGUUGUAAAGUACUUUUGGCAGAGAAGCGGUAUCUGCAGAAUAAGCACCGGCUAACUACGUGCCAGCAGCCGCGGUAAUAC